UCUAGAGUGUUUAUGUUCAUGAAAUAUUCAAUACAAAACAUAUCAAAUACGUAUGAAAUAAAUAUAAUAAGAAUGAGUAUAAGGUUAAAAUCACACCUUAAAAAAAUAGGAAAUGAAGAAGGUGAUAUAAAAAAUAAAAAAUAAGAGAAGAGGGUUUCUAUUGUCGAGAACCAUCACAAACCGCUACUGGACGAAGAAAGCUCACCACCAUCUCGCCGC
rnacentral:lncRNA from 1 species